rnacentral:lncRNA from 1 species
CCCCCAAACUUAAACCUUUGCUUGUCCUCAAGCAAAAACACAAAAAUGUUAUGCAAUGCAAUGUAAUGAAACUAAUCUAUAUGCCUACGAAUCCAACAGUAAUGACAUAAACAAGUCUAUUCAACCGGCCUUAGAGAAAUCAAGUAAACAUGAUAAUACAUCAUAUUAAAACAAAUCAGUAAUUUCCCAAUCAAUCAUCAAAUCUUAGACUGUUAUCACUGAUAUAGUGCGUGUGUGCUCCACAACAAUGUUAACUGAUAUAAAAUCAAAUUUAAGACAUAAUAGAUAUCUUUGAAGGCAUCAUACAGUGCAAAUUCACAAAAUUCACGAACAAGCUAUAUCCAACUAAAGUCAAACAUCCACCAAGUUCAAGAGUCCAAUCUGGGAUACUUAUGCUUUACUUUUCAUUACGGGGGCUUUUUGCUCUUUUCCCGUUUUUUUUUUUUUUUUUUAACCAUAACUGUGCAAUGUCUCAUUCCAUUAGGCUAACAGUGUCACCCCUUAGCGAGCUUUCGACCAACGACUCCCAGACCAUAUAAGACCUUAGGGCGCUAGGUUUUAAGAUACCCCUUCG